CUAACGCAAAUACCCCCACCCACCACUGACCCUCAUCCUUAUUGGCUGAGGAUCUUAACAUUCUAAACGGGGGAACUACCCAAGAAAUGGAACUUGACCAAUAAGUACAUAGUUACUGCCCAUAUUUGACUGAAAGAAGGAGACACUGACGUCAUGGGAGGAUAGCAGGAAGGGGACUUGGGUAUGCCCUUGACUCGAUCUUCAAAGUCCUUCAGGCCUGUUCAAACUCUGAAGUAGAUGAAGCCUUACUUGAUUUUCACAACUGUCUUGAAAGAUCUCACCUCAUCUCCUUCAAAAAGAAACAUAAAAAACAACUGAGACUUGGAGAGAAGGGAAAGGAUUUGCCAAAGGUCAAAAUAGCUAGUUAGUAAAAAAAUGAUCUUGGCCUUUACAAAGCUUCUUUUCCCAAAAGGGUUGGUGUUUUUUGAUGACUUUCUACUAUACCACAAUGUCUUCCUCAUGACUUCUAGAAUAAGAGGAAGGCUUCUGAGUUGCCAUCCCACUCCCCAUCUCCCCAAAAAGGAUGUAACGUCUUAGGACGUUAGAACUUCCACAGACUCUGGGCAUCACGGAAUCGCGCCCCAUCAAUUUGUGGACGAGGAAAUGAAAACCCAGGGAAAUGACGUUAUUUGCGGAUCGCUCUUCAGAAGCAGACGUCAGAACAAAAGGCCGCUCCGGGUUCCUAUUCCCUUGCCGCGUUCUUCCACGUGUGUGUGUGUGUGUGUGUGUGUCCCUGCGUGUGUGUGUCCCUGCUUCUGUGGCCUGCCCCUUUGCUGGAAUAUUCCC
rnacentral:lncRNA from 1 species